CCUACGGGUUGCAGCAGUGGGGAAUAUUGCACAAUGGGCGCAAGCCUGAUGCAGCCAUGCCGCGUGUGUGAAGAAGGCCUUCGGGUUGUAAAGCACUUUCAGCGAGGAGGAAGGUGGUGAACUUAAUACGUUCAUCAAUUGACGUUACUCGCAGAAGAAGCACCGGCUAACUCCGUGCCAGCAGCCGCGGUAAUACGGAGGGUGCAAGCGUUAAUCGGAAUUACUGGGCGUAAAGCGCACGCAGGCGGUUUGUUAAGUCAGAUGUGAAAUCCCCGGGCUCAACCUGGGAACUGCAUUUGAAACUGGCAAGCUAGAGUCUCGUAGAGGGGGGUAGAAUUCCAGGUGUAGCGGUGAAAUGCGUAGAGAUCUGGAGGAAUACCGGUGGCGAAGGCGGCCCCCUGGACGAAGACUGACGCUCAGGUGCGAAAGCGUGGGGAGCAAACAGGAUUAGAUACCCGUGUAGUC
rnacentral:rRNA from 1 species